rnacentral:rRNA from 1 species
UGGGGAAUUUUCCGCAAUGGGCGAGAGCCUGACGGAGCAAUGCCGCGUGGAGGUGGAAGGCCUACGGGUCGUCAACUUCUUUUCUCGGAGAAGAAACAAUGACGGUAUCUGAGGAAUAAGCAUCGGCUAACUCUGUGUCAG